UCUAGUAUGACAGUCUUGAUGUGUUCUUUUUCGAAGAUGCUGGAACUCGGUGCUUGCAUGGAGGAGACGAAAGCCAAAUCCAUCGACCUAGUGGAAAGUACAGAUGCCGACUUCUCUGAUAUAUCAUUCGAAGAGUUUCUGGCAAAGGAAAAGAAGGAUUCAUUUUGGCAGAGAAAUGGGAGAUAUAAACCGUGCUCCGGAUGAUAGGCUGUUAGCUAGCAAUUUUGACUAAUUGUAUGGAAGUGAGUACAUUCAAGCGCGCAAAAUCGUGUAUUGGUGCAAAAUUUUAUAGCUUCAUGGCUUAGUAUUGAUUUUGAAGGAAUCGCGGCGACCCUUAAUCUUUUUAAUUACCUGAUAACUUCUCAGGUCGAAAGCUAAUGAAUCUUUCACGGGUCAAAGAUGUAUGUUGUGUCUGAUUUUUUUGCCAUAUUCUAGUCUUUGUUGCUAUUAUGUUCUGUAAUUUUUAUUUAUAUUUUCAAAAUUUUCUUGCAUUUGGGGAGUUCAUAUAAUUGCAUAUCACGAAACAUCUGUAUGG